GCCCUAACAAAAAGGACGUUGGCAUCCAAUCAGGAUUGAGGCUGUUGUAGGCGGGUCCGGUAAAAGCAACAGCCAAUGACAGUACAGAAGCGAAGUUAAGCGUGAGAAAACCAGUCCAAAGAAAGCGGCUCUUCAGUCUCAGCAGGAGCCAGAAAAUUGGGAUCAGAAAGCCAGUAUGGAAAAUUUUGACAGCUGUCAGGAAGGAGGUUAUUGAAUUCAUUGGAGAAUGAGUGCUGUCCUAAAUUUGGGAAAUACUACAAGAUGUCUGUCUCGUAAAGUGAUGGUGGGAGGCCUCGAAGUCGAAGUGGAAGAGAAGCACGCUAGCCAGCAUGGAAGAAGCAUCAGUGGGAAAGUCAAUGGCACAGUAACAAGCAUGUUUUUAAAAUAAAUCAAGUCAUAUUUUCUAGCUAA